rnacentral:lncRNA from 1 species
UGCGACCUUGUGUGUUGUGCGAAUGACCAGACAGUCAUGCUCUCUGUUUGAGCUCUCGCAUAGGGACCUAGGUGUGUUAUGCAAGAGACUUGAGGUCCUACACCUCUGCAAGCUAAUUCGCUAUGCGAAUUUAGGAGGAUGCACUGUGAAAAACAACCUUGUCUCACCUUGCGGAAGGAGGUGCGCUGUGCGAAUUCCCCG